UGAAGUAAAAGUCGUAACAAGGUUUCCKURGGUGUMACYUGGCGGGAAGGAWCAUUACCGAGUGUAGGGUUCCUAGCGAGCCCAACCUCCCACCCGUGUUUACUGUAACCUUAGUUGCUUCGGCGGGCCCGCCUUUAAGGCCGCCGGGGGGCAUCAGCCCCCGGGCCCGCGCCCGCCGGAGACACCACGAACUCUGUCUGAUCUAGUGAAGUCUGAGUUGAUUGUAUCGCAAUCAGUUAAAACUUUCAACAAUGGAUCUCUUGGUUCCGGCAUCGAUGAAGAACGCAGCGAAAUGCGAUAACUAGUGUGAAUUGCAGAAUUCCGUGAAUCAUCGAGUCUUUGAACGCACAUUGCGCCCCCUGGUAUUCCGGGGGGCAUGCCUGUCCGAGCGUCAUUGCUGCCCAUCAAGCACGGCUUGUGUGUUGGGUCGUCGUCCCCUCUUCGGGGGGGACGGGCCCCAAAGGCAGCGGCGGCACCGCGUCCGAUCCUCGAGCGUAUGGGGCUUUGUCACCCGCUCUGUARGCCCGGCCGGCGCUUGCCGAACGCAAAACAACCCAUUCUUYCCAGGUUGACCUUCGGGAUCAAGGGUAGGGAWACCCGCWGARYUUAAGCAUAUCAAUAAGCGGAGGUA
rnacentral:rRNA from 1 species